ACGUUAGUUGCUAACGCGUGAAGGCGGAGCACUCUAGACGAACUGCCGUUGACAAAACGGAGGAAGGUGGGGAUGACGUCAAAUCAUCAUGCCCCUUAUGUUCUGGGCUACACACGUGCUACAAUGGCCGGUACAGACGGACGCAAAGCCGCGAGGUGGAGCAAAUCCUAAAAAGCCGGUCUCAGUUCGGAUUGCAGGCUGCAAUUCGCCUGCAUGAAGUCGGAAUCGCUAGUAAUCGCAGGUCAGCAUACUGCGGUGAAUACGUUCCCGGGCCUU
rnacentral:rRNA from 1 species